rnacentral:rRNA from 1 species
GACGAACGCUGGCGGCGUGCCUAAUACAUGCAAGUCGAACGCACAGUUUAUACCGUAGCUUGCUACACCAUAGACUGUGAGUUGCGAACGGGUGAGUAACGCGUAGGUAACCUGCCUGGUAGCGGGGGAUAACUAUUUGAAACGUUAGCUAAUACCGCAUAAUAUUGAUUAUUGCAUGAUAAUUGAUUGAAAGAUGCUAUUGCAUCACUACCAGAUGGCCCUGCGUUGUAUUAGCUAGUAGGUGAGGUAACGGCUCACCUAGGCGACGAUACAUAGCCGACCUGAGAGGGUGAUCGGCCACACUGGGACUGAGACACGGCCCAGACUCCUACGGGAGGCAGCAGUAGGGAAUCUUCGGCAAUGGACGAAAGUCUGACCGAGCAACGCCGCGUGAGUGAAGAAGGUUUUCGGAUCGUAAAGCUCUGUUGUAAGAGAAGAACGGGUGUGAGAGUGGAAAGUUCACACUGUGACGGUAUCUUACCAGAAAGGGACGGCUAACUACGUG